AUGAUUAUACAGGCCUAAAUGU
rnacentral:miRNA from 1 species